GACGAACGCUGGCGGCGUGCCUAAUACAUGCAAGUUGAGCGCUGAAGGUUGGUACUUGUCCCAACUGGCUGAGCAGCGCACGGGUGAGUAACGCGUGGGGAAUCUGCCUUUGAGCGGGGGACAACAUUUGGAAACGAAUGCUAAUACCGCAUAAAAACUUUAAACACAAGUUUUAAGUUUGAAAGAUGCAAUUGCAUCACUCAAAGAUGAUCCCGCGUUGUAUUAGCUAGUUGGUGAGGUAAAGGCUCACCAAGGCGAUGAUACAUAGCCGACCUGAGAGGGUGAUCGGCCACAUUGGGACUGAGACACGGCCCAAACGCCUACGGGAGGCAGCAGUAGGGAAUCUUCGGGAAUGGACGAAAGUCUGACCGAGAAACGCCGCGGGAGUGAAGAAGGAUGUCGGAUCGUAAAACUCGGUUGGUAGGGAAGAACGUUGGUGAGAGUGGAAAGCUCAUAAAGUGACGGUAACUACUCAGAAAGGGACGGCUAACUACGUG
rnacentral:rRNA from 1 species